rnacentral:rRNA from 1 species
CUACGGGAGGCAGCAGUGAGGAAUAUUGGUCAAUGGGCGAGAGCCUGAACCAGCCAAGUAGCGUGCAGGAUGACGGCCCUAUGGGUUGUAAACUGCUUUUAUAAGGGAAUAAAGUGAGUCUCGUGAGACUUUUUGCAUGUACCUUAUGAAUAAGGACCGGCUAAUUCCGUGCCAGCAGCCGCGGUAAUACGGAAGGUCCGGGCGUUAUCCGGAUUUAUUGGGUUUAAAGGGAGCGUAGGCCGGAGAUUAAGCGUGUUGUGAAAUGUAGAUGCUCAACAUCUGCACUGCAGCGCGAACUGGUUUCCUUGAGUACGCACAAAGUGGGCGGAAUUCGUGGUGUAGCGGUGAAAUGCUUAGAUAUCACGAAGAACUCCGAUUGCGAAGGCAGCUCACUGGAGCGCAACUGACGCUGAAGCUCGAAAGCGCGGGUAUCGAACAGGAUUAGAUACCCUGGUAGUCCGCACGGUAAACGAUGGAUGCCCGCUGUUGGUCUGAAUAGGUCAGCGGCCAAGCGAAAGCAUUAAGCAUCCCACCUGGGGAGUACGCCGGCAACGGUGCAACUCAAAUGAAUUGACGG